AAAAAAAAAAACAAAAAAAAAAAGACCAGUCAGCUCAGUGCAACAUUUGCAACACAACUUUAUCAUGGAAAGGUGCCUACACGACCAAUUAUGCAAGACCGGCUUCAUGGAAUAUAGCCUAAGUGCUAAGUGCCAAGCUAGCCGAAUGCUACGUAGUUGACACGCUGCGCCGUCAGAACCAGGUGGCGGAGCAGCUGCGACGUGGCAAGUCUUGACGUCGCCUCGAAGUGAAGCAGGGGGGGAAAAAGGCAAGCAAAAUUCACCAAACUUUCCCGCAUCUUGCUUCUCCUCGUGGCCCCCAAGGAGAGUCGUCAGACGACCCCGGUGGGGUCAAAGCGGUUCAGAGGUCGCGGGGCGAAGACGUCCACAUGCCCGAGUCAAAACACCAGCUGGCACAACCG